UAACCGUGCAAAGGUAGCGUAAUCACUUGCCCCUUAAAUAGGGGCCUGUAUGAACGGCUAACUGAGGGCACACCUGUCUCCUGAUGCCAACUAAUGAAACUGAUCUUCUGGUACAAAAGCCAGGAUAUACCCACAAGACGAGAAGACCCUGUGGAGCUUAUAACCUAAUCACUACUAAUCACCACUUAGUCCUAGUGAGCGGUUUAAGUUGGGGCGACUACGGAGCAAAACAAACCCUCCAAGAAACCAGGCUAACCCCCCCCCCUACAAGGCACACGCGCCAACAAGACACCCUAUUUUAUGACCCAGUCCCACUGACCAACGAACCAAGUUACCCCAGGGAUAACAGCGCCAUCCCCCUCCAGAGUCCAUAUCACCAGGGGGGUUUACGACCUCGA
rnacentral:rRNA from 1 species